ACCAAAAACUAUGUGUUAUGGUGUUCAAGCUAUUUACCAUUUUUGGAUAACAUCUUGUUAACCCGCUGUUUCAUCUUACCCCACCCGUUUCAACUUGCCCCGGUGUACCUUACGUCAUCUUGAUAUACAUAGCUAUAAUAAAACUUAUCAGGGGCAUAUGUCACAAUAGAUCAAAAAACUGGUCGCAGUAAUGGAAAUACCCGACACGGAAUAAAAAAAAUCUAUUUUUUCUAUGAGCAGGAAUGUCUAAUGUUGUUUUAUAUGACUUUUUUCAGUAACGGGAGGCAUUUAAACCCACCCACCUAUUGUAAAACGUCCAACUAUCCAAACUUUUAGAUGGAUCCGUAAAACUUGAAAAAAUCCGUAAAACUGGAAUAUUUACAGUAUCAUUGUUAUACUGUUAUACUGGGGGACAAUUAUGCAUUUUUUUAGGACGUCGAAAAGGCAUAUCAAAACAAUUGUACAUGUAACAUAUGCUCGAAAUUUGCUUCUUAUUCUGUAGGUUUUGUAACGAAACCCAUGCUUGAAGAUUUUUUUGUCGAAAUUUCGAAAGAUUCGAAGACAUACUUGAUGAAGUUUCAAUAACAAAUUUGGCGAGACAACAGAAGUACUCUUUAGUGAAUUUCUUAUAAAGAUUUUUUACGCUAUCCCGGGAAUUCUUAAGGUGUUAUUAAUGAUGGAGCUAUUGAUGUAAUUCUGGUAAAAUUAUUGAAGCUAGCUCCAAUAUAACCUCAAUUAUAUUUUUACCAAUGGAAAUUUUCUAGUUCGCUAGAACAGGUCUUGAAGCUCCUGGGCAUUUGAGGUGGGGCUAUCCAUAAAGUUCCCAGAGAGCUUAGACAAGGGGGUGUAGUAGGCUAUGCUGGAAGUGACAUUAGUGGGACAGAGAAUAAAACAUCACUUGUGUACUGGACAUCAACCAACAAACAGUGUUUUAUAGAUUAUUACAUUGGCGACGAGAAUAAAGAACCCCGUCGAAGAAUUACCUAGUUGUCCCCUUAUUUGUCUAGGUUGAAAAGGAAAGUAUAUAACAUUUAUUUAAAGGCAAGUUUAACUAAACUAACCAUUUCCAGCAAUCAAAAUCAUUUUGCGAAACCAUUGGCGUGAGCCUCAGCACAUGAAGAUAAAUUACUUGCAAAUUAAUAGCCGCCGGAAAGGAUAAGAACUGGUGCGACAUGGAGUUCCACAUACAAACGGGAAACGCUAUGUUCUGACGUAAAAUUUUGAUGCCAUAGUGGAAAGGAAUAAAUCGAGGAAAAAAAACUAUUAAUCUUGGACAUGGACGGAAGCAACUUCGGAAGCAUGCGUUCAAGCAGGCACACGUUUUGGGUAGAGAAAAAAUUAACAAAAGAUGAUAAGGUAAGAAAUGAUAAGAAAUCUACAGGAAAAGGGAGAAGACAGCUGUUGUGGAGAGCUAAGUAUACAAACAUAUUUUAUUAUUAGUUAUAAAUUAUUUCAAGUAUCUUUUCCAUAUUAUUUAGAUGUCUACAAGAUAUCCGAGCACGACAGAUGACCUUACUGAUGGAAGAUCAAUGGAAUAAUUUCUUUUGGAUUCAACGCACAAGAUCGCAUCAGUACACCGACUGUUAGAAGAUUUGAAUUUAUACUUGGAAUUGGAGAUAAACUACAUUUGUUAACACACAUAAAAUAGGCAGAUUAAUAGUUCAUUAAUCUGGAUUUGUAUGAUCUAUGAAUUGAUAUUGUUAUAGAAUAAGUAUUAGCUAAUUGUGUUUCAGGAAGACAUUUCAAUUUCCUUGAAGGGCUAUACUUAAAACUGUUCAAUUUUUAAUAAACCUAAGGAGAGAUGUAGUAGGCUAUGCUGGAAGUGACAUUAGUGGGACAGAGAAUAAAACAUCACUUGUGUACUGGACAUCAACCAACAAACAGUGUUUUAUAGAUUAUUACAGGGGGUUCAGAGAAUUGUUUCAGGAGAUUUGGGGUGCCUUUUAAGGGAAUUUUGGGGGUUUCAUGGACGUUUCAAGGUGUUUUAAGUGCAAUUCAGGGGAUCUCAGGGGCCUUUAAAAGGCGCUACAAGGGGUUUGAGGGGCGUUUCACGGCAUUGUAGAGUAAUUUCAGAGAAUUUCAGGGGGUUUCAGGAGCAUUUUAAGGCAGAGUUUCUCAUUGCUCAUGUGUACAUAAAUGUGACAGCGAGCCUCCCAUCAAAUUGUCUCCUAGCUCUUCAAAAUCGCUAGGAGGCUCACGAAAAUCUGGUAGGCGCGAGCUAGGUACAUAGCUCCCGGGAGCUCGUCUCAUGUGCUGCGUGAGCUGUUGGUAUCUAAGGCAAAAAACAACUUCUUAGUAACGAAGAACCUCAACGACUUUUUUCCGUACACGACACAAGUGUCUGGUUGGUCUAUGCGAUACGACUAGGGACUAUCAAUUGAAAGGUAAAGGUUUCAAUUUUCGUUCGUUUAGGAAGUUUUUGUCGUGAAAUUUUCUUAUUUAAUCAGCGCAUGAGACGAAGUUCAUGAGACACAUCUUUUGAAUAAUGAGACGCACAAGUUUCAGUCUCAAAAUGUACUGUGCUCCUCGGAGCUUGCUUCAUGGUGGCCACUCAGAGCAGCAAAUUCCCGAGUUUUUCCCGGUUUUCCCGAUAGCUUUUUAAAUUUUUCCCGAUUCUAAAAUAGAAUGAUUUACAGUGAAAAUUAAACGUAACUUACUAAAAAAAAACUUAAGAGAAUUAAUAUUGCAUAUUUUCAAAUCCUUAGAUUUAACAUAGUAUUCAUAUGAACUUGAAAAUAAGUUAUGUGUUGUUUGUCUCGUAUCCAAUGAUGGGCAUUGAAGUUACAUCUUCAUUGAAGAUUUCUUAAAUUCAUAAAUGACUAACUAGUACAAAUUAUGCAGUUGUUUAAGCAAAUAAAAAUAAAAAGGAUAAUCCUGAGGGGGUCGAAAAUCUCAGAGAAUACACUAUGUUUAUAGGAUUUACAAACUUAUUAUUAGUGGAUUUCUUAGUAAUAUUCCAAAAAUCUCUUCUGAAAAAUUCUUGGUAAGUUUGUUUGGGAAACUAAUAUAUAAACUAAUAACAAAAUGCCCAGAAAAAACAUUCUGGAUGAAAUUCUGGUGGAAUAUCUGGAAACAUUACUCGUAAAAGAAUUUUGGAAACGAUUUCUAGGAAAAUCUUCAGUGUAGUAUUUUUGAUGGUCAUUUUUUCAAGAUAUUUUAAUAGAAAACCAGUGGCGAACUUUAUGGUAGCGUAAAUGGCUACUGCAGAAAGACAGGCAGGUUACUUAGGCUGGAAUCGUAAAUUCUGAGAGAUCAAAGAAAUCUUAGCAUCCGUCUAGCAUUCCGUUAUUUCAUCAGCGAUUGCAAUAUGAAGUUCUUAGAGAUCUAAUUUAGAUUCAUUAUUUGGGAAUUAUAUAUUUCCAUAAAUCAUACAACUAUAUUGCUCCAGAUGCUUUUGAAUACUCACUGGAACGCCCGCGAGAAUUUCAAUUGGAAGUUUAACUAGAAACUACGAAUACCCUAAAUUCUCGAGAAUUUGCAGAAACAGGAGUUUCACAAGGGACUUGCUAAAGUUUUACCAAAAAGGGAUUUUCCCGAUACCUUACUCCGGUUUUCUUCGAACAUUUUUAUUCACAAAUUUAAUAAAUGAGUACAUCCAAGAGCUUCGUGAAAAACAACAGAAAUCUUUCAAACAAAAUACAGGUCGGACUCGAUUAUCCGGAGACUCGAUUAUCCGGAAUUCGAUUAUCCGGAAUUUUAGACUCGAUUAUCCGGAGUAUUUUUAUUGUGAUUUUUUUUAUUUCAACGAUAAAAUUUAACAUAACUAAAUAUUAUAACAUUGUUCUGGCACGAUUUUGGAAGCCCCUGAUUCUGUUUUCCUCCAAUUUUGUCGGAAAUUAAAAUGUUUUACACUCAGCAUUAACAUUUUACAUUUCCAGUAUUUUACAGUGUAUUUCAAAUUCAGUUGAUAAUUUUUGGCGUCAUAUACAAAUUACGUAACAAAAUAAUCUCGCGUUAUAUUUGAAAAUGGCCAAACAAUUUUAAG